CAAAUCUCUUUUGUAAGUCGCUCCCCAACAACCCAAGCCCAUUGUCCACCUCUCACGCCACACACAAACCUAACAAAAAUCCCCGCCGCCGCCACCACCACCACCAGGCACCACCACCGUACUCUUGGCCGAUAUUGUCACGCCGCUGCCCCUCCCACCCCGGGUGACGCCUCCCGAAGCUCCCAUCCAGCUGCGCUUCCCCAGCCUGAGGUGCCGCCCAGCUGUCCACUAACCUAGCGGCGGCCGUCGCCCACUGGUUCCCUGGCAUCGCCCCUAACCUGCCAGUUGAUUUGCUCGCGCCGUCGUGUCCUCCGACCGUGAUCUGCCUCGCGACGCCACCUCCCCAGACUACGACCUGCCUUGAGCCACCACCUCCCCAGACCACAACCUACCUCGCGCCGCGACGGCCUCUGGCCACAACCUGCCUCCCGCCCCCACGACCUCCGAGGGGCCGCCCCACAGGCUGCAGCUUAGGAGACUCUCCGCUGUCCCUCUUCCACCACCGGCAACGUCUUCCCCACCCUCUCUGUCCUACCCUGUUUCCAAAUUUGGUUUUUGCAGAUUUUGUCUGCUUACUUCAAAACUGAAAUGUGGCUUUUGCUUGCUGAUAAUUUCGGCUAUGGUGUGGCUGUCUAUUACUCAAGAUGAUUCCAUAUCAUAUCAUCAACUUUAGGAACCUUAUCUCAGCUGUCGUCGAUUUCAGAACAGAUCGUUGGCAUUGUUGCUUCAAGGGACAUCAGGUCUGAUCCCUUGCCUGUGCUCUCCACUUGUCCUCACUCCUUGGGCCUUCCCUUUGCUUAUCACCAUACAUUUUAUACAGAGCGGUGUCAUGAUGCAUCUCCUCUGCCUAGAUGAUGGACAGAGGGCCUAAGCUCUAGUUGGAGAUUAUUUGAAUGAUUCAGUUUUGGGGGAAGAAAGCGAGGUAUAGUCGAGAAUGUAUAGUCUGCAUUGUGUAUAACUGAAAUAUGUGUAGCUUCCUAAUAUGAAAACAUGCAUGUUUACAUAUUUGUCUUUCUUUUAGCAUUGCUGAAUGAAUGAAAACAUUCACAUGACCACACAUGGCCCAAAGUUAAAACUAGGAAUUGGGUUUUCAUUUCCCUUAGAUUUGUUAAUGUUCAUCCUGUUGUCGUUUCUUCUGAAGUUUAGAAAAUUCCUUCUACUAAAUAGUUAACUCAUUUUACUAUUGUCAGCAUAAUCCAUGGAUUUGCAUUGCAAGAGAUUACUAUUUUUUUUUUUUUGUGAUUCCUAUGUAUUUCUGGGUGUGCAUCAUUCAGGGCCGUCGAAAAGGGGGGCCAAAGUGGGCGACCACCCAGGACCCCCAAUUCUAGGGGCCCCCAAAUGCUGUUAUGUAUCAGGAUGAAAAAGGCCCAGCUUACCUGGAUCAUCCCUGAUGGCCUUGGCAUCAUUACAAGGAAGACAAGCUUUUCGACUCCAUCUGUAUGUGCCAGGAAAGGUGAAUCUCAGAGAUUUGUCUUGUAGACUGGUGGCAUGAUGCUACAACCAGUGUUCAAGGGGACAUGGUAAAAAGUAGCAAAUUCACAAGUUGAUGGAAGAUGUUAUCGUGAUCGCUCUUGUUCAGAACAUGGUUGACACAUUUUGUCAUAUGGAAGUUGAUGUUUGCUUGGCUGCUUUGUACCUAGGAUAUUAGCAAGCAGAAGGGCAGAAACGUAUAUGGGUCAAAUGGCAGAAAGUAAUCCCACAAGAUGAUAUAUGAUGUUCUGCUGAUCACUUUUGUUCAUAACAUGGUUGACACAUUUUCGUCAUAUGGAAGUUGAUGUUGACUUGGUGAUCAAAGACUUGGCCCCUUCCAUACUACCCCCUCCCCCCUCCUAAAAUAAGUGUCUUUGGGACGGAGGUAGUAUUUUGUAGCAGUCAAGUGAAAGAACAAUUGGUUUCUUAGGAACUUGAUCAUCAUAUUUUGUAACAGGCCACAUCCUACAUGUCAAACUUGUGUAUUUCCUAAAUGGUUGUAGAUAACUUGAGUGAAGAAAAUUAAUGGAUCUUCUAUAUAUGUUGAAUGAA